rnacentral:rRNA from 1 species
UACGAGGGGAGCAAGCGUUGUUCGGAUUUACUGGGCGUAAAGGGCGCGUAGGCGGUCGUGACAAGUUCACUUGUGAAAUCUCCGGGCUUAACUCGGAACGGUCAAGUGAUACUGUCGGACUAGAGUACAGAAGGGGCAACUGGAAUUCUCGGUGUAGCGGUGAAAUGCGUAGAUAUCGAGAGGAACACCUGCGGCGAAGGCGGGUUGCUGGGCUGAUACUGACGCUGAUGCGCGAAAGCCAGGGGAGCGAACGGG